rnacentral:rRNA from 1 species
ACGAACGCUGGCGGCGUGCUUAACACAUGCAAGUCGAACGAUGAAGCGGUGCUUGCACCGUGGAUUAGUGGCGAACGGGUGAGUAACACGUGAGUAACCUGCCUUCCACUCUGGGAUAAGCGCUGGAAACGGCGUCUAAUACUGGAUAUGACAUUGCCUCGCAUGGGGUGGUGUGGAAAGAUUUUUUGGUGGUAGAUGGACUCGCGGCCUAUCAGCUUGUUGGUGGGGUAAUGGCCUACCAAGGCGACGACGGGUAGCCGGCCUGAGAGGGUGACCGGCCACACUGGGACUGAGACACGGCCCAGACUCCUACGGGAGGCAGCAGUGGGGAAUAUUGCACAAUGGGCGAAAGCCUGAUGCAGCGACGCCGCGUGAGGGAUGACGGCCUUCGGGUUGUAAACCUCUUUCAGCUCUGACGAAGCUUUUUGUGACGGUAGGAGCAGAAGAAGCACCGGCUAACUACGU